rnacentral:rRNA from 1 species
GCCUACGGGGCGCAGCAGUGAGGAAUAUUGGGCAAUGGGCGCGAGCCUGAACUAGCCAAGUCGCGUGAGGGAAGACGGUCCUAUGGAUUGUAAACCUCUUUUGUCGGGGAGCAAAAGACGCCACGCGUGGCGUUCCGAGAGUACCCGAAGAAAAAGCAUCGGCUAACUCCGUGCCAGCAGCCGCGGUAAUACGGAGGAUGCGAGCGUUAUCCGGAUUUAUUGGGUUUAAAGGGUGCGCAGGCGGUAGAUCAAGUCAGCGGUAAAAUUGAGAGGCUCAACCUCUUCGAGCCGUUGAAACUGGUUUU